CUUAAGGCAUUCUUUUCUCAUCCCUGCUGAAAUCCAAAUGCUUCAUUUCCCUUCUUUGCAAAUCCCUAACCCUAUCUCGUCUCUCAUAGCAUCCCUCCUAUCUCAUCUAUGGCUUCAGCUUUCCAGAUCUCACAUGUUCAUUGAGAGGGCUUCUGCCUUCCGAUUUCUUUGCCACUCGUCGCUGGUUGCCUCCCUCCUACCUCUUUAUCCCAUUUCUAUAUUUGUCUAUUGCUUUCAUCGUAUCAGUCCGAAUGUAUGUGGAAUUUUACCGCUCGCAGAUUAAGAAAAGUUCAACAUAAAAGUAAGUUAUCCAGUGUAUGCUUACUACUAACUGAGAGAAAAAAAAAAUCAUGUGCUAAGAAACGUUUGAGUUGAAUUUAUGUGGAAGUUUUUCAGAGGUAAUCGGUGUCUGCAAAGAAAUUGGUAUCAUUUGGUGCAUGAGUUGUUCUAUUUGUAAUGAGUGAUGGGGCUCAAGUUUUUAGUUGAUUUUGGAGGUCUAGUUGCUGGAACUAUUGCCCCCCCCCCCCCCCCCCCAUGUUGAAUUUCCUCUGAUGUAUUCGAUAUUUAUUUUUUUAAAAAGUUCCAUAAAUUCUCAACCUUCUUUCCCUCACAAUUGUUCCUUUUGCAUUUUUCUUUUUGGUUUCUUUUAUUCACAUAUUUAUAAUUUUGUUCCAGGAUGUAAUAAUUUCCAUCAUAAAUUAAUUUACGCGUACUUCUAUUUCAGAUAGGAAGUUCUUAACAUCUAAGUUGAUUGUUCCUUUUAUAAUGAAAACUUCCUUUAACAUCUAAGCUGGUUGUUUCAACAGCAUCCUGACUUCGGCAUAUGAAAGUAUUAAAUCUGAUAUUUUAUUGUGUUUUCUGUUUUAGCAGUUACAAUCAAUCAUUAUUUCACAUAUGGACCUGAAUACUAAUUUCCACUAGCCUUAGUAGAUUUUUGUUUAGUAUUGUUAUGUGGUUAGGCCUUCAAAUAUUUGUCCAUCUCGUAUUUGUUCCGUCUUUCCCAUAUGACAACAUUGAUAUAUUGCUGAGGAUAUUUGUAAUACAUUAAGUUUAAAAAAAAAAAAAAAAAAAGGAAAAAAAAAAAAAAAAAAAGGAAAACAAAAAAAAAAUAGUAUAAUGAGGCGGUGGAAUUGGAUUGAUAUCAAUCCAAUUCCAACCAAAACCAAAUUAAUAACAUAUAACACACACAACACACAAAAAAAAGGGUACAGAGAAGGAGAAGAGAGAAAAAGAGAAAGGAAAAAGAGGGGAAAAAAGGGAAAAGAGGAAGAAAAAGAAGAAAAAAAAGGGGAAAAGUCGCCAACGUGUUAGGAAUUAAGUGAGUUAUACUAUUAGGCUUGAAAUUCUCAAUUUUGAAAGGUAAGUAAAAGGUUACUUAUUGAAAGGUUAUGUUUGAUUUUAUAGUUGUUAGAUUAAAUUUAAUUUUAUUGAAGGGGUUAAGUAUAAUAAAUGAUGAAAUUGAGUAAAAUGAAAGAAAAAUUAGUUUCAGUAAUUAAAGAGACUUUAGAAAUCGCCUAAACGUGAAAUAAUUAAGUUUGGGUAUCGUCUAUUUAAUUAUUGAAAUUACUUAAAUUAGUUAAUUGUUGAUUUAAAAAUUAUGUUAUAUUUCAGACGACGAUACAGAUAUCGAGACAUCAUACCAAUCAAGUUGAUUUUGGCGUACAUAGUUCUGUGAGUGAAAAAUUAUAAAUAUUUUUAAAAGUAUUUAUGAUAAAGUAUAUUAUAAAGGUAUGUGCAAAUAUGUGUUCGAUUAUAUGAUUAUUAUGAAAAUCUCUUUUAUUAUAAUACAUGUGGAAUAUAAAGGAUUAUUUAUGGUACAUUUGUGAUUUGGUAUAUAAGACAUGUGAUAUUACGAUUUGUUUGGUAUGAAAGACAUAAUAUUGAGAUCGACCAGAAAAGUAUACAUGAUUAUAUACUUCUUCUAGUUCACAGAGGAGCAUUGGCCAUGUUCUAUCCUAUACGGAGAGUCUUGACCUGACGUUGGUCUUGAUCGUGUACAUAUAGUUCAUAGAGAGGCCUUGAUCGUGUUCUAGAAUUGAUUAUGAGAGGUCUUUGAGACCGACUUUCGUUCACGAAGGGGCCAAAAGCUCGUGGCGAAAGUUUUUAGCUCGAGGGGUGGAUUAUAUAUUUCAGUCCGAGGGUACAUUUUUGGUGGAUUUUUCAGCACAUUUGAUGUGAUGAGAUUAUAGCAUAGUUAUCAACUUAUGUUUAUAUCAUGACUUGAGAUGAUAUUUUACCACGUGAUGUGAAUGUCUCACGUUUUGGCUAUAAUUAUAUGAUGUUAUCUUGCAAGUUAUCAAUGAUAAUAAACUCGAUUUUCGAUAAAAAUGUAUAAAUGAAAAAUUAUAUUUAUUUUGAACUUCUCCGCUCAUUGAGCUAUCAACUCAUAUAUUUUUGUACGUUUUUCCUUACCAGGCAGCAGUUGAGAAUCUGGGCAUCUUUUGGAGUUGAACCUUGCCUUUGGAGUCAGAGCCACACGACAGACUUUGUUAGUAUGACUCACUUCAUAGAACAUGUAGUCAGUGUUUUGGGACGCAUGUUCAUGUCUAGAUAUAAUUUUGCAUCACUUGUAAAUAGUUAUGGGGCUCACUAUGUAUUAUGUAUCAAUAUGUAUAUUUCAUUUUAUUUUUGGUAAAAAUUGAGGUUUCGACUUAUCUUUAUUGUGCUGUGCUAUAGUUUGGGAUUUGUGUAAAAUUGAUCACAGGUUCGUUAGUCUUGUUUACAGGGGAGAUAAUGCCGAAAUUCUGUUAGAAAAAUGAUGUAUAAAAAGUGAUAUAUUGUAUUUGUAGUAGCCUUGAUGGUGGGUCCGACUUUUAGUUGGUAUCUAUCAUCGGCGCAUGUCACGUCCGGAUCUAGUGGUGUUACACGGGGCGGGGUGUGUCAAUAUUCUCCAGUUGAGUUCCAGAUUUGAUUAAUUUCUAGACUCACCAUUUACAGAGGACACUCACACCACUCUUUCAAGUUUUUAUGAAUUGCUUGCAUGCCCACGUAUUUAGUUUUAUCCUUUCCUGAUCUUUAUGCUAUUCAUUCUCAUAUGAUAAACUUUUGCUAACCCUGAAUACAUUCUUGAAUCAUGCGUAUCUAUUGAAAGGACAUCAAAAUGUUGCUGCAAUGAAUUAUGCAUCACUGGGUCAAAGAUAUGAAAACUCUGAUGGAUGUAGUGUUAUAUGUGGGGCUCAAACAGAACUUGAUUUGGCUAAAACUAUGAUGCUUUGCACAGGGUAACGGACUGUUGCCCUUUAUUUCUUUAAUACUUACCUUGCAAUUCUCAGUGUUGUAACAUUAAAACUAUCAACCACAAGGCUUGAAUCAUGCUAAUUAUCUACUUGGAAUGUAUAAUAGCAUCAAAAUGACAGUUACUUCCAUGUUUGUAUUCAUCUGCUUUUUUGAAAUUUUUGCUAUGGCAUUGUCGUUUUCACUCAUCCUUUUUCCAUAUGACGCUAGGUUGCAGUUUUUUUUUCUCAUCCAUUAUAUUCUUAAAUUGAUUUUGGUUCUGUUUUGCAUUGUAUUGAAGACAGUGCAUUAGAUUUGUGUACUUCAACAUGACAUCAUUUUUUUUUUUUGAAAUUUUAAUCAAUUAGAUUUGAAGACUGCAUUAGAUUUGUGUACUUCAUCCAUUAUAAUAAUCAGUAUGUUUUUUUUGAAAUUUUAAUUCAAAUUUUACGUGCUUGUAAAUCAAAUGUUAGUACUUCACAUUGCAAUUAUAAUUUACAAUUCAGUCGCACUUACACUGUUGUUAUCAAUUUUCAUCUUUUUAUGUGUAAAAUAAAUUAUAAAAGGUUACAUGUAAUAUGUUAUUCCCUUUUCUCCCUCUGUGUAAUAAAUUAUGGAGCGCGAAAACUUGUCGUGCAAUCUGACAUUGUUUCAGCUUAUGCAAUGCACUUGUUUGUGCAUGCCACAAUAGUACAUGUACUUUCUUUUAUCAUCUCUUGUUUCUAUAUUGGUUUUAUGUUGUGGUUUCCAGUUCAUAGAAAAUGGCCUAUGGUGAGGAUAUUCAGCCCCUUUUUUGUGACAAUGGAACUGGAAUGGUGAAGGUUCGUAAACAUUUUAAAAUUUUCUAGCCUUCUGUAUUCAAGUUAUUAUGUAAUUAAUUUCAAGGGACUUGUUUAAUGUUACCCCUGCAGGCUGGCUUUGUCGGUGAUGAUGCUCCUGCAGAUUCGUGAUAAACCUUUCUCUAUUUCCAUUGCCAAAAUCCAACAAUAUGCUUAGAUUUCCAUGGAGGUAUUCAUUUAAAUUAAUUUUGUUUCUCGAUAAUAGGUGUUGUUUAAAUGUUGAACUAGCAAUCAAAG
rnacentral:lncRNA from 1 species